rnacentral:sRNA from 1 species
AUGAAAUACGCGGUGACUAUGAAUAGAUAAUGACACUGCUCUAAAGACAAAGAGCAGAGACACAUUAACAGAACACACGGUAGCUCAUCCUAACCAUGGGGCUCAAAAUGCUAAAUAGCAGAUUUACGUACAGCGCACUGGACAUUUUUGUCAUCCCAGGAGAAAGCCCAACUCUUGGAAUUGGGGACGUAGAACGAAAUGGCGUCCUGUAGAUACGAGGCGUCAUUGGUCACUUUGUAGAGUUCCAUGGCCGCCGUACACAGCUCGUCCUUGUACGAGUUGGAACUGUCAAAAUAUUCAUUUGAAUGAAAUACAAUGAAAUUUU